GACGUAGGAUGCGAGCGUUGUUCGGAUUUAUUGGGCGUAAAGCGUGCGUAGGCGGUUAUCCAAGUCUGGUGUUAAAGCUAGGAGCUCAACUCCUGUGAUGCACUGGAAACUGGGUGACUUGAGCGCGGUAGGGGAAGGUGGAAUUCCGAGUGUAGCGGUGAAAUGCGUAGAUAUUCGGAAGAACACCGGUGGCGAAGGCGACCUUCUGGGCCGCUGCUGACGCUGAGGCACGAAAGCGUGGGGAGCAAACGGG
rnacentral:rRNA from 1 species